rnacentral:siRNA from 1 species
AGGGAUCAGCGGAUGUUGC